rnacentral:rRNA from 1 species
GAUGAACGCUGGCGGCGUGCCUAAUACAUGCAAGUCGAGCGAACGGACGAGAAGCUUGCUGCUCUGAUGUUAGCGGCGGACGGGUGAGUAACACGUGGAUAACCUACCUAUAAGACUGGGAUAACUUCGGGAAACCGGAGCUAAUACCGGAUAAUAUUUUGAACCGCAUGGUUCAAAAGUGAAAGACGGUCUUGCUGUCACUUAUAGAUGGAUCCGCGCUGCAUUAGCUAGUUGGUAAGGUAACGGCUUACCAAGGCAACGAUGCAUAGCCGACCUGAGAGGGGGAUCGGCCACACUAGAACUGGGACACGGUCCAGGCUCCUACGGGAGGCAGCAGUAGGGAAUCUUCCGCAAUGGGCGAAAGCCUGACGGAGCAACGCCGCGUGAGUGAUGAAGGCCUUCGGAUCGUAAAACUCUGUUAUUAGGGAAGAACAUAUGUGUAAGUAACUGUGCACAUCUUGACGGUACCUAAUCAGAAAGCCACGGCUAACUACGUG